rnacentral:lncRNA from 1 species
AGAGCACCGAGGGGGAGCCAGCAGUGAGUGCACUGGGGAGCUCCACACACGCGGCUCCGCAGCUUUGCGCGCCCUUCUACCGCGAGCGGCUGAGUAUCCGCCUGGCUCCCCUGCGGGGUUCCUCCGUGGUCUUCCGGAGAUUCUUUCUGAAGCAGCUUUAGAAUAGUCAAGCCUAUUUUUCUACUCCAUUUCUUUUUGUAAUGUGGGGUCACCUUUCCGCUCUAGAAAUUGCUUUUCUUACGCGAUUCCCACCCCAACUCUCGCCAAGGGCCCUGGUUCUCAUCUCCCCAGUCUUAGCUUCUGACAAGCCUCCAAGAAACUGCGCUUUUUUCUUUUCUGGAGAUGCAGAGUAUGAAAAUGAUUUUGCAAGACUUUUCCAGGUCAUGAGGUGCUCUCUGAGAAAUCUCUUCUGUUCCCUAAAGUACGCAAUUCACAAUUGCAAAAAAUAUGGAACCAGCCUAAAUGUCCAUCAACCAACGAGUGGAUAAAGAAAAUAUAGUAUAUAUAUACCACAGAAUACUACUCAGCCAUAAAAAGGAACAAAAUAAUGGCAUUCUCAGCAACCUGGAUGGAAUUAGAGAUGAUUAUUCUAAGUGAAAUAACUCAGAGUGGAAAACCAAACAUAUGUUCUCAUUCAUAAGCUGGAGCUAAGCUAUGAGGACACAAAGGCAUCAGAAUGAUAUAGUGGAGUCUGGGGGCUCCAGGGGGAAGUGGGGUGAGGGGUAAAAUACUACGUAUUGAGUACAGUGUACACUGCUCUGGUGAUGGGUACACCAAAAUCUCAGAAAUUACUGCAAAAGAAUUUGUUCAUGUCACAAAAAGCCA